rnacentral:rRNA from 1 species
CCUACGGGAGGCAGCAGUGAGGAAUAUUGGUCAAUGGACGAGAGUCUGAACCAGCCAAGUAGCGUGAAGGAUGACUGCCCUAUGGGUUGUAAACUUCUUUUAUAAAGGAAUAAAACGAGGCACGUGUGCCUUUUUGCAUGUACUUUAUGAAUAAGGAUCGGCUAACUCCGUGCCAGCAGCCGCGGUAAUACGGAGGAUCCGAGCGUUAUCCGGAUUUAUUGGGUUUAAAGGGAGCGUAGAUGGGUUGUUAAGUCAGUUGUGAAAGUUUGCGGCUCAACCGUAAAAUUGCAAUUGAUACUGGCAGUCGUGAGUACAGUUGAGGUAGGCGGAAUUCGUGGUGUAGCGGUGAAAUGCUUAGAUAUCGCGAAGAACCCCGAUUGCGAAGACAGCUUACUAAACUGUGACUGACAUUGAUGCUCGAAAGUGUGGGUAUCAAACAGGAUUAGAUACCCCAGUAGUC